AUCUACGACCAUAGAUGGAGAAACCGCCGAAUCCCGUACGCUCUUCGAAGCUAAGCUCGCUAUCGCUCGGUUAGUACCAUCAUGGGGGACCAGAUGGGAAUCCCGGGUGUUGUAGUUU
rfam:Kwoniella heveanensis BCC8398 unplaced genomic scaffold supercont1.17, whole genome shotgun sequence.